UACGAAGGGGGCUAGCGUUGCUCGGAAUCACUGGGCGUAAAGCGCACGUAGGCGGAUUGCUAAGUCAGGGGUGAAAUCCUGGAGCUCAACUCCAGAACUGCCUUUGAUACUGGCGACUUCGUAGUCCGGGAGAGGUGAGUGGAACUGCGAGUGUAGAGGUGAAAUUCGUAGAUAUUCGCAAGAACACCAGUGGCGAAGGCGGCUCACUGGCCCGGUACUGACGCUGAGGUGCGAAAGCGUGGGGAGCAAACAGG
rnacentral:rRNA from 1 species